AGCAUUAGUAGCUCAGUGGUUAACAUAUGGGCCUAACAAUCAGAAGGUUGUGAGUUCAAAUCCCAGUGGUGCUG